rnacentral:rRNA from 1 species
GCUCAGGAUGAACGCUAGCGGCAGGCCUAAUACAUGCAAGUCGGACGGGAUCCAUCGGUAGCUUGCUACCGAUGGUGAGAGUGGCGCACGGGUGCGUAACGCGUGAGCAACCUGCCCAUAUCAGGGGGAUAGCCCGGAGAAAUCCGGAUUAACACCGCAUGACACUGCUUUCCGGCAUCGGGAGGUAGUCAAAUAUUCAUAGGAUAUGGAUGGGCUCGCGUGACAUUAGCUAGUUGGUGGGGUAACGGCCCACCAAGGCGACGAUGUCUAGGGGCUCUGAGAGGAGAAUCCCCCACACUGGUACUGAGACACGGACCAGACUCCUACGGGAGGCAGCAGUAAGGAAUAUUGGUCAAUGGGGGCAACCCUGAACCAGCCAUGCCGCGUGCAGGACGACUGCCCUAUGGGUUGUAAACUGCUUUUGUUAGGGAAUAAACCCCGCUACGUGUAGCGGGCUGAAUGUACCUAAAGAAUAAGGAUCGGCUAACUCCGUGCCAGCAGCCGCGGUAAUACGGAGGAUCCGAGCGUUAUCCGGAUUUAUUGGGUUUAAAGGGUGCGUAGGCGGCACUUUAAGUCAGGGGUGAAAGACGGCAGCUCAACUGUCGCAGUGCCCUUGAUACUGAAGUGCUUGAAUGCGGUUGAAGACGGCGGAAUGAGACAAGUAGCGGUGAAAUGCAUAGAUAUGUCUCAGAACACCGAUUGCGAAGGCAGCUGUCUAAGCCGUUAUUGACGCUGAUGCACGAAAGCGUGGGGAUCGAACAGGAUUAGAUACCCUGGUAGUCCACGCCCUAAACGAUGAUGACUCGAUGUUUGCGAUAUACCGUAAGCGUCCAAGCGAAAGCGUUAAGUCAUCCACCUGGGGAGUACGCCCGCAAGGGUGAAACUCAAAGGAAUUGACGGGGGCCCGCACAAGCGGAGGAGCAUGUGGUUUAAUUCGAUGAUACGCGAGGAACCUUACCCGGGCUUGAAAGUUACUGAAGGGCGCAGAGACGCGCCCGUCCUUCGGGACAGGAAACUAGGUGCUGCAUGGCUGUCGUCAGCUCGUGCCGUGAGG